GCAAGGCCUCCAGGUUGUCUGACUGCACUGGGGCUGCAGCACCCAUCCCCAGGCCUCCAGGUUGUCUGACUGCACUGGGGCCGCAGCACCCAUCCCCAGGCCUCCAGGUUGUCUGACUGCACUGGGGCCGCAGCACCCAUCCCCAGGCCUCCAGGUUGUCUGACUGCACUGGGGCCGCAGCACCCAUCCCCAGGCCUCCAGGUUGUCUGACUGCACUGGGGCCGCAGCACCCAUUCCCACGCCUCCAGGUUGUCUGACUGCACUGGGGCCGCAGCACCCAUUCCCAGGCCUCCAGGUUGUCUGACUGCACUGGGGCUGCAGCACCCAUCCCCAGGCCUCCAGGUUGUCUAACUGCACUGGGGCUGCAGCACCCAUUCCCAGGCCUCCAGGUUGUCUGACUGCACUGGGGCUGCAGCACCCAUUCCCACGCCUCCAGCCUCAGUGGGCAGUGCCCUAUUCAGUCCUUCUGACCACUUGGUCUUUCCUAAAACUGCAUGGAUCGAGCCAUGGAUUCACUACACCUGAGUAAAGGCCACACUCCCCCCACUCCCGAAGAGAAGCUCAUCCCCAUCUGGGGGCUAAGACAAGGGGACCACCCCCACCUUUCCAAAAGGCUGGACUGACAACUCUUGGGGUUCUGGGCCUCUCUCCCUGCCAAGAAUCUCUUCUUUACCUUGGAUUACUGAGAUAAGUGCUCCUGGCCUCAGGGG